rnacentral:rRNA from 1 species
UACGUAGGGGGCUAGCGUUGUCCGGAAUCAUUGGGCGUAAAGAGCGCGUAGGCGGCCAGAUAAGUCCGGUGUGAAAGUCACAGGCUCAACCUGUGAAUGCCGCUGGAAACUGUCUGGCUAGAGUCCGGAAGGGGCGAGUGGAAUUCCUGGUGUAGCGGUGAAAUGCGCAGAUAUUAGGAAGAACACCAGUGGCGAAGGCGGCUCACUGGCCCGGUACUGACGCUGAGGCGCGAAAGCGUGGGGAGCAAACAGG